rnacentral:rRNA from 1 species
UGGGGAAUAUUGCACAAUGGGCGCAAGCCUGAUGCAGCAAUGCCGCGUGAGUGAAGACGGCCUUAGGGUUGUAAAACUCUUUCGCUAGGGAAGAUAAUGACGGUACCUAGUAAAGAAGUCCCGGCUAACUCCGUGCCAGCAGCCGCGGUAAUACGUAGGGUGCAAGCGUUGUCCGGAAUUAUUGGGCGUAAAGAGCUCGUAGGCGGUCCGUUGCGUCUGCCGUGAAAACCCGGAGCUCAACUCCGGGCCUGCGGUGGAUACGGGCGGACUAGAGUCCGGUAGGGGAGACUGGAAUUCCUGGUGUAGCGGUGGAAUGCGCAGAUAUCAGGAGGAACACCGGUGGCGAAGGCGGGUCUCUGGGCCGGAACUGACGCUGAGGAGCGAAAGCGUGGGGAGCGAACAGGAUUAGA